GUCCUACGGGGGGCAGCAGUGGGGAAUAUUGGGCAAUGGGCGCAAGCCUGACCCAGCAACGCCGCGUGAAGGAAGAAGGCUUUCGGGUUGUAAACUUCUUUUAUGAGGGACGAAACAAAUGACGGUACCUCAUGAAUAAGCCACGGCUAACUACGUGCCAGCAGCCGCAGUAAUACGUAGGUGGCGAGCGUUAUCCGGAUUUAUUGGGUUUAAAGGGUGCGUAGGCGGAUCGUUAAGUCAGUGGUCAAAUUGAGGGGCUCAACCCCUUCCCGCCAUUGAAACUGGCGCUCUUGAGUGGAAGAGAA
rnacentral:rRNA from 1 species